rnacentral:rRNA from 1 species
GACGAACGCUGGCGGCGUGCUUAACACAUGCAAGUCGAGCGGAAAGGCUCCUUCGGGGGUACUCGAGCGGCGAACGGGUGAGUAACACGUGAGUAAUCUGCCCUGCGCUCUGGGAUAGCCACCGGAAACGGUGAUUAAUACCGGAUAUGACCGCUACACGCAUGUGUUGGUGGUGGAAAGUUUUUCGGCGCAGGAUGUGCUCGCGGCCUAUCAGCUUGUUGGUGAGGUAAUGGCUCACCAAGGCUUUGACGGGUAGCCGGCCUGAGAGGGUGACCGGUCACACGGGGACUGAGACACGGCCCAGACUCCUACGGGAGGCAGCAGUGGGGAAUAUUGGACAAUGGGCGGAAGCCUGAUCCAGCAACGCCGCGUGAGGGAUGACGGCCUUCGGGUUGUAAACCUCUUUCAGUACCGACGAAGCGAAAGUGACGGUAGGUACAGAAGAAGGACCGGCCAACUACGUGCCAGCAGCCGCCGUAAAAC